AUUGAACGCUGGCGGAAUGCUUUACACAUGCAAGUCGAACGGCAGCACGGACUUCGGUCUGGUGGCGAGUGGCGAACGGGUGAGUAAUACAUCGGAACGUGCCCAGUCGUGGGGGAUAACGUAGCGAAAGCUACGCUAAUACCGCAUACGAUCUAAGGAUGAAAGCGGGGGAUCGCAAGACCUGGCGCGAUUGGAGCGGCCGAUGGCAGAUUAGGUAGUUGGUAGGGUAAAGGCUUACCAAGCCGACGAUCUGUGGCUGGUCUGAGAGGAUGAUCAGCCACACUGGGACUGAGACACGGCCCAGACUCCUACGGGAGGCAGCAGUGGGGAAUUUUGGACAAUGGGCGCAAGCCUGAUCCAGCCAUUCCGCGUGCAGGAUGAAGGCCUUCGGGUUGUAAACUGCUUUUGUACAGAACGAAAAGGCUCUGGUUAAUACCCGGGGCUCAUGACGGUACUGUAAGAAUAAGCACCGGCUAACUACGUGCCAGCCGCCGCGGUAA
rnacentral:rRNA from 1 species